GUAAAUAAAAAUAAAAUUUAUUUUUAAGGUUUUUAUCAUAGAUUGUUUAUAUUUAGUUGAAUUUUUUACAUCAUGUGUACAAACUUCUUUUGUCAUGUUUUCUUUAGUUUGAAAUAUUUCUUUUGUUGUUAGUUACUAAAAAACCCAAGGCGAGAUUGUGGGUCGAAGAUGACGAUUCGAAUGAAUCUCGGUUUUGAAGAAUCCGUGAGGCCCGGAUUGAUGGGGUUUUUAACUUUCAGGGUAUUUUAGCGGAUCCUCAGUGUAUCUUCAUUGAUCUGCCACAGAUUGAUUAGAUCUCGGUUGGCGUUUUGAGGUUGGAAAGAUUUCACUCUGGCAAGGUUCUCGGAGAUCUGGUACCAGAUAGAGGUGAAAAGAGAUGAUUGGGUUGUGAGUUAUAAGGAAAAAAUUGAUUGGGGAAUAUACAUGAUUCGAUGUUGAGAUCUCCUUGCAGCCAAUUAUUACGGUAUGUUUCUUUUUUUUGGAUUGGUCUUAGGUGGUGUAUAUCGGUGGAUGCUUCUAAAAGAUCUGAGAGAUUAUUUAGAGAGCAGUGAGAGCAAAGAAAGGAUCUUGGUUUUCAGAAAUAUUUUUGGUAAUAGAGAUAUUGAAACAAAUCAUCAAAGGUUUCCUAGGACUGAGAUUGAGAAUUUAAUGGUUCUACUCAUUCAAUUCAGUAUCACUAUGGAUUUGAUUGAAGAACAUAUUGCGGUCACGAAUCUCUGGUUUUACUUGAUAGGAACAGCUAGGAUGGAUGGGAUCCUGCAUCACAGCAUCAUUCUCUCACAACUUCUCUAUUGUUUCUAACAUACGGUUCUGGUUUUUACAUUGGUCUCUUUGGUUUCAUAAUGAUUCAAGGGAAGUGGGUCGCUAAAUCGGGAGGUGACCAUGCCAGGUCUAAAGAUUACGGUUCCCCGUUUUAAUAACUCGGAACUCAUAACGAGUUAUGCUAAAACCCUAAUAGGCCAGGUCUAAAGAUUUUUCUCUUCAUGCUUCCCAAGAUAUGGCAAGCUGAGAGGCGUGCGGUUGGUGCAGAUCUUGGGUUGGGAAGAUUUCAGUUUGACUUUGAUUUGGAGGAAGAUAUAAUUGAGGUCCUGAAGAUGGAACCUUUUCAUUUCGAUUACUGGAUGGUGUCACUUGUUAGGUGGAAGCCGGUUGUUGAAGCUAAUUAUCCAUCAAAAAUUACAUUUUGGGUUCUAGUGCUAGAUAUCCCUCUUCAGUUUUUGGGCUGCUCCGACCUUCCAAAGCGUUGGAGAUGCUAUAGGAAAGAUUCAGGGUGGCGUUGAUCUCAUCUAGGGAAAAGUAUGGGUGGAGCUUGAUGGUUUCAAGCCCUUGGUGUUUCCAUGGAAGUAAAACUCGAUGAGGGAGUGGAGAUCAAGGUGUCUCUCAGGUAUGAGAAGCUCUUUGGUUUUUUUCAGGGAGUGCUUCAGUUUGGCACCUGAUCAGUCUAGGUGCCCGAGCUUGCACAAGGAGGAGACCGUAAGUGAUAGUGUGGGGAUCAAAAGUGACAAUGGCUCUCAUGUGACAAGUUAUAAGGCAGCUGUCUCUAAUGGUAGAGAGAGAGCACAAUGGUGAACAUAUAGAGGGACAACUCUAAGGCGUUCAGAGACGGAGACAAAAAGUAUUGCUUGUGAGAGGCAAGGGCUUUACAGACAUGAGGUACCAAGUGGCAUACAUGUGGAGAAAGAAAUACAAAACUCUAUCACGCAUUGACGAAGCAAAGGCGGAUUCAAAAUAGGAUCAUUGGAUUAUACAAUGAGGAGGGGUACUGGAUUAAUUUGGAAGCAAAGCUCGAAGGAGUUGCAGUCAGAUAUUUUUGUGACGACCCGGUUUUCCUUAACCAAUUUUGGUUUAAUAAAAUAAUUAAAUCAAACCCAGUUUCCUAUUUUACCUUAACCUAAACGUGUUACGUAUGUGUAUACAUUUCCUUUUCUUCCAACCUAGCCGUCAUUGUUAUUAGAUCGUGAGAGAGGUUAAGGCUCCAACUUGCACCACCUCUCUGUCUCUCAUCCUUCUUUCGAUCUAGCAACCAUGAAAAGAGCCUCGUAGUUGCCGUCAUCAAUAGUCACCACAAGAGACGCCACCACAACAACCGGAGCAAUCGUUCACAGUUCACCGGAUCCAUCACCAUUCUUUAUCACGUGUUGUUAAUGUGAGCGUAUCCGAUAUGUGGAGAAGAGACGAACAAAACGGAGCCACCGUCCACCAUGGAUCACCACCACGAGUCUUCCUCCACCAGAGAUGAGACGUUGUGUUUUCAGAGGCCAUCACCGCAAACCGUUGACGUUAUGUACCAAGUCCGAGAAGUGUAGAACGUGAGCAAAUCUGGACCACCGCGUCUCACUAUCACCGGCUCCGAUCUAUACCGCGUUAGCCGUGAGCCAUUGGAAAAACAAGGCAUGUCAACCAACCACCAUCAUCAACCGUGAUCCAAGCCGUAUUAUCUAAGUGACUUCCUCCUUUGUUUCUUGUGAUACUAGAAACGUAUAUAGCACAACCAUAAACGUGUCAUUGCAUGUGUUUAUGUGUAGUGAAUCUUAUGCCAACCUGGAGUUAGUUGCCAUCACUUUAAAAUAAGACGUACGAAAAUUUAUGGAACACGUUUUAUUCAACACCAUGAUUAGGAAGGAAUCUUUUAAAGUGAUGUUAGGCGAGAUCGUUCCCGAGCAUUUCAUGAGCUAUGUCCAAUAUUGGCUCAGGUGAGACUGACGAGUAUAUGAUAUUUGGACGGAUUGGUGCUACUGGGCUUUUUAUUCGGAUUUUUAUUUGGGCUUAGGGUGAGUGGAGUUGUGUAUAUGGCUAUUUUAUUAUGAGGUAUUGUUGGUGGCAUGCUGUUCUCCAGAUAGGAGGUGACGGGUGUCACAAUUUGGUAUCAGAGCGGGGUUCCGUCCCGGCCUCGACCCGGGAUGGCGAUUAGGGGAUUCGGUUUUGUACGUUUUAAAAAAAGUAUAAAAUAAUUUUUAUAUAUAUAAUAAAAAUAUGUUUGCGAAGUUCUUUUAGCACUAUUAUGUCCAGUAAUUACUAACUCAAUUGUUUUUUUCUAUGACGAUGAGUAAAAUCAUCGUCAUUCAUCUUUCGGCUAACAGGGUUCUAGCCAGAUGUGUGAUGUCUUAGUUCGUCAGUUUUCUCAGGAGUUAUCAGUUUUUUCGAUCAUGAUUCCAAGAUUAUCUAGGAGUGGAUAUGUGACAUUUCUGCUUCCACCCUACUUCAAGAAAUCGUUCCACGAGUUUUUGUUACUGGAGAUUACGUGAUAUGAGGUGUGAGCCAUUGGUUGGCAUGUGUUGUUUUUUGUACGAGUAUGUUGACUAUUUUGGAGGUAUGUUCAGUUUGUAAACUCGUGGGGAUCGCUUUUAGAUUGGGAGUGCGGUAGCUUGCGUUGUAUUGAUAUUGGAGUUACGCUUGGUUUUGUUUGCUAGUUUUUGGCAUUGUUGAUCGUUUCAGAGAUGUGUCAGUUGAAACAACUGGCAUGAGACGUGAGAGCUAUUUAUAUUCAUCGCAGUGUACCAGUUAUGCUCGGAGGACUGAUUUGUUUGGGGACUCGUCAGAGAUGGAGCUACGUUUUUACGAUGUCAUCCUUGGGAUGAAUUGGCUGUCACAACAUCGAGUAGUGUUAGAUUGCCCGAGGGCAAGAGUUGAUAUUGUUGGAGCUGAUGGGAGUUUUUAUUGCAUGCAUGCUACAUGCUGCGGAGUUACUGGAUAUAAUAGCAGAUGAGAGUUUUUAUUGCAUGCAUGCUACAUGCUGAGGAGUUAUUGGAUAGAGGAGCAGAGGGAUUUUUGGCGACCAUUUUGAUGGUUAAGAAUGUUGGGCAGUAUGAGUUGUAGGAUCUUCCGGUUAUUGCAGAUUAUGAUGAUGUAAUUGUGGUCUUUGGAACGACCACCACCAGUCACAAGAGGCGUUCUUACGAUUGAGUUGGAACCAAGGACAUCACUGGUUUUACGAGUUCUAUACCAAUUAGCGGCAACAGAGAUAACCGAGCUAGAAAAGCAUAUGGAAGAUUCAUCAGACAUGGGUUUUAUCAGACUGAGUACUUCACCGUAGGGAGCAUCAUUAUUUUUGUAAAGAAGAAAGAUGGAAAUGUCAGUCUUCGUAUCGACUACAUAGACUUGAACAUGGUUUCCGCGUAUUGAUGAGUUGUUGGAUUACCUACAGGAGGUUCAUGGUUCUUGAGGUCGAUUUGGCAUCACGACACCACCAGAUUGCGAUAGAAGACAUCCUUCCGUAUUAUGGACAUUAUGAGUUUGUGAUGAUAUCAUUUGGGUUGACGAACACACCGAUAGCAUUCAGGAAACUUAUGAAUGAGGUUUUCGUGAACACUUGGAUAAGUACGUGAUUGUAUUCAUCGAUGACACCCUGAUUUAUUCUCGGAGUAGGGAGGAGCAUGCUGAGUAUUUACAGAUUUUGUUAGGUAAGCUUGGAGAGCAUUAGUUGGUUGCUAGCUGAGUAAGUGUAGCUUCUGGCAGAGGACGAUUUGAUUUUUGGGUCACAUAGUUUCAGAGGCAGGAAUUGCAGUAGAUCCGGAGAAGAUGACUACAUUUUCAGAGUGGCCGACACCUAAGAAGUACAGAGAUUUGAAGCAUUGUUAUCGUUGGGUGGUAUGAAUAAAGAUGUGGCGACAUUUGUAUCGCAGUGUCAGACAUGUCAGAUGGUUAAGGCUGAACAUCAUAUACCUAGCGAAUUAUUGCUGAACUUUUCAUUGCCAGAGUGGAAAUGAGACAUGGUGAUUAUGGAUGUUGUGACUGGAUUACCGACCACUUCAGGUGGGGAUAAUGCCAUUUAAAUAAUUUUGGAUAUACUCAGUAUGUUCAUUUCCUAGCGAUUAAGAAAACAUAUAGAGCUGAUCAGCGGGCGCUUAUUUACAUCAAAGAGAUUGUGAGGUUGCAUGGAGUCACUGUCAGCAUUGUAUCGGAUCAGGAUGCAAAAUUCAAGUCUGCAUUUUGGAAAGCCUUUCAGAAGGCGCUUGGGACAAAUGUUCACAUGAGGACAACUUAUCAUCCGCAGACAUAUGGGCAGUCAGAGAGAACUAUUUAAACAUUGGAGGUUAUGCCCAGGACUUGUACUUAGCUCGCGAGGAAAAAAAAUUGUUUGCACCAUUCAUCCAGUCGAGAGUUUGGAUCGACAAGUAAAAGCUGUUCAGGGGAUGAUACCAUGUUGGUCAAAGCUCGUUGGAAGACAAAAAGAGAUCUCGGAGACCAAGACUCAGAUGAAGAUUGAUUAUUCAGAGAUUUUUUUUUUUUUUUUUUUUUUUAGGAUGAUAUUGGAUAUUCGGCUCAGGAUUUGAAUUCGAGGACAAAUUCUUUAUAAGUGCGGGAGAAUUGUAACGAUCCGGUUUUCCUUAACCAAUUUUGGUUCAAUAAAAUAAUUAAAUCAAACCCAGUUUCCUAUUUUACCUUAACCUAAACGUGUUACGUGUGUGUAUACAUAUCUCUGUCUCUCAUCCUUCUCUCGCUCUCGCAACCAUGAAAAGAGCCUCGUAGUUGCCGUCAUCAAUAGUCACCACAAGAGACGCCACCACAACAACCGGAGCAAUUGUUCACAGUUCACCGGAUCCAUCACCAUUCUUUAUCACGUGUUGUUAAUGUGAGCAUAUCCGAUAUGUGGAGAAGAGACGAACAAAACGGAGCCACCGUCCACCAUGGAUCACCACCACGAGUCUUCCUCCACCAGAGAUGAGACGUUGUGUUUUCAGAGGCCAUCACCGCAAACCGUUGACGAUAUGUACGAAGUCUGAGAAGUGUAGAACGUGAGCAAAGCUUGACCACCGCGUCUCACCACCACCGGCUCCGAUCUAUACCGCGUUAGCCGUGAGCCAUUGGAGAAACAAGGCAUGUCAACCAACCACCAUCAUCAACCGUGAUCCAAGCCGUAUUAUCUAAGUGACUUCCUCCUUUGUCUCUUGUGAUACUAGAAACGUAUAUAGCACAACCAUAAACGUGUCCUUGCAUGUGUUUAUGUGUAGUGAAUCUUAUGCCAACCUAGAGUUACUUGCCAUCAUUUUAAAAUAAGGCGUACGAAGAUUUAUGGAACACGUUUCAUUCAACACCAUGAUUAGGAAGGAAUCUUUUAGAGUGAUGUUAGGCGAGAACGUUCCCGAGCAUUUCAUGAGCUAUAUCCAAUAUUGGCUCAGGUGAGACUGGCGAGUAUAUGAUAUUUGGACGGAUUGGUGGUACUGGGCUUUUUAUUCGGACUUUUGUUUGGGCUUAGGGUAAGUGAAGUUGUGUAUAUGGGCUAUUUUAUUAUGAUGUAUUGUUGGUGGCACGCUGCUCUACAGAUAGGAGGUGAUGGGUGUCACAAUUUUGCUCAUCUAUUUCACUCCUCCUCUCCGUCAGAGUUUGAUAUUUUCCUAGAGGAAGUUCCCAUUUUGGUAACAGCGGUCCAAAAUGCUAUAUUGAUGGCUAGGGCUUCGGAGGAGGAGGAGGUGAGAACUGCCUUUGGUGAUGCACCCGGAAAAAGCUCUCGGACCGGAUAUGAUGACAGCAUUUUUUUAUCAACAAUCGUGGACAAUUAUUAGAGAGGAUGUUGUAAAUAUGGUUAACAAUUUUCUCAAUUUGUUUUAUUCAAAAAAAAUGUUAGAUCCAGUCCAAUGACGGAACUUAGACCCAUCAGUCUUUGUAAUGUGGGUUAUAAAAUUAUUUCAAAGGUGUUAUGCCAGAGGAUGAAAGUUUUA